rnacentral:rRNA from 1 species
GACGAACGCUGGCGGCGUGCUUAACACAUGCAAGUCGAACGGAAAGGCCCUGCUUUUGUGGGUUGCUCGAGUGGCGAUAGGGUGAGUAACACGUGAGUAUCCUGCCCUUGACUUUGGGAUAACUUUAGGAAACUGGGGCUAAUAUCGGAUAGGAGCUCUUGCUGCAUGGUGGGGGUUGGAAAGUUUCGGCGGUUGGGGAUGGACUCGCGGCUUAUCAGCUUGUUGGUGGGGUAGUGGCUUACCAAGGCUUUGACGGGUAGCCGGCUUGGGAGGGUGACCGGCCACAUUGGGACUGAGAUAGGGCCCAGACUCCUACGGGAGGCAUCGGUAGGGAAUAUUGCACAAUGGGCGGAAGCCUGAUGCAGCAACGCCGCGUGCGGGAUAACGGCCUUCGGGUUGUAAACCGCUUUCGCCUGUGACGAAGCGUGAGUGACGGUAAUGGGUAAAGAAGCACCGGCUAACUACGUG